rnacentral:rRNA from 1 species
UACGGGGGGGGCAAGCGUUGUUCGGAAUUACUGGGCGUAAAGGGCGCGUAGGCGGUUCGCUAAGUCGGAUGUGAAAACUCUGGGCUCAACCCAGAGCCUGCAUCCGAAACUGGCGGGCUAGAGUUCUGGAGGGGGUAGCGGAAUUCCUGGUGUAGCGGUGAAAUGCGUAGAUAUCAGGAGGAACACCGGUGGCGAAGGCGCACAUCUGGCCCGAUACUGACGCUGACAGCGCGAAAGCUAGGGGAGCAAACGGG